UGGGCCGUCGCCAAGCGGUAAGGCAGAGGACUUUGACUCCUCCAUCCGUCGGUUCGAAUCCGGCCGGCCCAACCA
rnacentral:tRNA from 3 species